rnacentral:rRNA from 1 species
CCUACGGGGGGCAGCAGUGAGGAAUAUUGGUCAAUGGGCGGAAGCCUGAACCAGCCAAGUAGCGUGCGGGAUGAAGGCCCUACGGGUCGUAAACCGCUUUUGCACGGGGAUAACACCCUCCACUUGUGGAGGUCUGCAGGUACCGUACGAAUAAGGAUCGGCUAACUCCGUGCCAGCAGCCGCGGUAAUACGGAGGAUCCGAGCGUUAUCCGGAUUUAUUGGGUUUAAAGGGUGCGUAGGCGGUUUGAUAAGUUAGAGGUGAAAUGUCGGGGCUCAACCCCGAAACUGCCUCUAAUACUGUUGGACUAGAGAAUAGUUGCGGUAGGCGGAAUGUAUGGUGUAGCGGUGAAAUGCUUAGAGAUCAUACAGAACACCGAUUGCGAAGGCAGCUUACCAAACUAUAUCUGACGUUGAGGCACGAAAGCGUGGGUAGCAAACAGGAUUAGAUACCCGUGUAGUC